rnacentral:lncRNA from 1 species
UUAUACCAACCUGCCAGGUUAUGGAAGCCAUAUUCCUCAUGAACCACAAAAAAUGCUUCCGAAUGCUGGAGCACUGUCCAGUCUUCCUAAAUUUCCUUUCCCACUGAAGGGAUCCUCCUCCUUACACUUCAAAGUUCAUAAAAUCCUCUCACAGUGGUCUCCACCAAAAAUGUCUGAAGUUCCCUGAAAUGUCUAAUCUACUAUAAGAAUUAAGAUGGAUCUGAAAGACUGUGUGAAAGUCUCAAACUCUGUGUUCAUCAGUGGGUGAAGGCGUGUGAAAUUAUGCUUUCCCUCCGUCUCAACACACCAUUCUGUUGCUUUUCAUUUACCUGGGUAAGAGCACUGACUCGGUUCUCACUAGGAAACAAAGGCGGGUCUUCUCCAACUUGAAAAUCAAAAUACACGGUUUUGUGUGUGAACGUGGAAAAUUCAUUGCUGAAACAAAACUUGUAUGUCCCGUUUUUGGAGGCGGUGAAGGUAAAACUAUCAUACUGUUUCUUCAUCUCUUUGUAUAACACGUUACCAUCAGGAUCUUCUAAUCGACAGUCUACAUC